ACGAACGCUGGCGGCAGGCCUAACACAUGCAAGUCGAGCGCUACCUUCGGGUGGAGCGGCGGACGGGUUAGUAACGCGUGGGAAUAUACCCAGUUCUAAGGAAUAGCCACUGGAAACGGUGAGUAAUACCUUAUACGCCCUUCGGGGGAAAGAUUUAUCGGAAUUGGAUUAGCCCGCGUUAGAUUAGAUAGUUGGUAGGGUAAAGGCCUACCAAGGCUACGAUCUUUAGCUGGUCUGAGAGGACGAUCAGCCACACUGGAACUGAGACACGGUCCAGACUCCUACGGGAGGCAGCAGUGGGGAAUCUUGC
rnacentral:rRNA from 1 species